AUAGUAAAAAAGCAAAACUACUGAAAAGCAGUGACGCAAAGCCAAGGGUCUAAGCCGAAAGGUAUGACAGCCGGUUGCCAUG
rnacentral:ncRNA from 1 species